ACUAACAGUGAAAUGCUUACUUACAGGUCCAUUUCCAACAAUGCGGAGUGAAGCAUAAGAUAAAACAUUUAAUAGAAAAUAUAAAUAGUAUAAAAAAUAUAAAGAAUCAGGUGUUGACUGUGUAUGAUAGACACCCAAACAUAAUAUCAGGUGUUGACUGUGUGUGAUAGACACCCAAACAUAAUAUCAGGUGUUGACUGUGUAAGAUAGACACCCAAAAAUAAUUUCAGGUGUUGACUGUGUAUGAUAGAGACCCAAACAUAAUAUCAGGUGUUGACUGUGUGUGAUAGACACCCAAACAUAAUAUCAGGUGUUGACUGUGUGUGAUAGACACCCAAACAUAAUAUCAGGUGUUGACUGUGUAAGAUAGACACCCAAACAUAAUAUCAGGUGUUGACUGUGUAAGAUAGACACCCAAACAUAAUAUCAGGUGUUGACUGUGUGUGAUAGACACCCAAACAUAAUAUCAGGUGUUGACUGUGUAUGAUAGAGACCCAAACAUAAUAUCAGGUGUUGACUGUCUAUGAUAGACACCCAAACAUAAUAUCAGGUGUUGACUGUGUAUGAUAGACACCCAAACAUAAUAUCAGGUGUUGACUGUGUAUGAUAGACACCCAAACAUAAUAUCAGGUGUUGACUGUGUGUGAUAGACACCCAAACAUAAUAUCAGGUGUUGACUGUGUGUGAUAGACACCCAAACAUAAUAUCAGGUGUUGACUGUGUAUGAUAGAGACCCAAACAUAAUAUCAGGUGUUGACUGUGUAUGAUAGAGACCCAAACAUAAUAUCAGGUGUUGACUGUGUAUGAUAGACACCCAAACAUAAUAUCAGGUGUUGACUGUCUAUGAUAGACACCCAAACAUAAUAUCAGGUGUUGACUGUGUGUGAUAGACACCCAAACAUAAUAUCAGGUGUUGACUGUGUGUGAUAGACACCCAAACAUAAUAUCAGGUGUUGACUGUGUAAGAUAGACACCCAAACAUAAUAUCAGGUGUUGACUGUGUAAGAUAGACACCCAAACAUAAUAUCAGGUGUUGACUGUGUAAGAUAGACACCCAAACAUAAUAUCAGGUGUUGACUGUGUAAGAUAGACACCCAAACAUAAUAUCAGGUGUUGACUGUGUAAGAUAGACACCCAAACAUA